GAUGAACGCUAGCGGCAGGCCUAACACAUGCAAGUCGAGGGAGAGGUUACCUUCGGGUAACCAAAACCGGCGCACGGGUGCGUAACGCGUAUACAAUCUGCCUUUCACAUAGGGAUAGCCCGAAGAAAUUUGGAUUAAUACCUAAUGGUAUAUAAGAGCGGCAUCGUUUUUAUAUUAAAGCUACGGUGGUGAAAGAUGAGUAUGCGUUCUAUUAGCUAGUUGGAGAGGUAACGGCUCCCCAAGGCGACGAUAGAUAGGGGCUCUGAGAGGGAUGUCCCCCACACUGGUACUGAGAUACGGACCAGACUCCUACGGGAGGCAGCAGUGAGGAAUAUUGGACAAUGGUCGGAAGACUGAUCCAGCCAUGCCGCGUGCAGGAUGAAGGUCCUAUGGAUUGUAAACUGCUUUUGUAAGGGAAGAAUAAGGAGUACGUGUACUUUGAUGACGGUACCUUACGAAUAAGCAUCGGCUAACUCCGUGCCAGCAGCCGCGGUAAUACGGAGGAUGCGAGCGUUAUCCGGAAUCAUUGGGUUUAAAGGGUCCGUAGGCGGGCUGAUAAGUCAGAGGUGAAAGCGCUUAGCUCAACUAAGCAACUGCCUUUGAAACUGUCAGUCUUGAAUGAUUGUGAAGUAGUUGGAAUGUGUAGUGUAGCGGUGAAAAUGCUUAAAUAUUACACAGAACACCGAUAGCGAAGGCAUAUUACUAAUAAUUUAUUGACGCUGAUGGGACGAAAGCGUGGGGGAGCAGACAGG
rnacentral:rRNA from 1 species